UAAUACGGAGGGUGCGAGCGUUAUUCGGAAUUAUUGGGCGUAAAGAGCGCGUAGGCGGUCUCUUAAGUCAGAUGUGAAAUCCCGGGGCUUAACCCCGGAAGUGCAUUUGAAACUGAGGGACUUGAGUAUGGGAGAGGGAAGUGGAAUUCCUGGUGUAGCGGUGAAAUGCGUAGAUAUCAGGAGGAACACCGGUGGCGAAGGCGACUUCCUGGACCAAUACUGACGCUGAGGCGCGAAGGCGUGGGGAGCAAACAGGAUUAGAUACCCUGGUAGUCCACGCAGUAAACGGUGAACACUAGGUGUAGCGGGUAUUGACCCCUGCUGUGCCGCAGUUAACGCAUUAAGUGUUCCGCCUGGGGAGUACGACCGCAAGGUUA
rnacentral:rRNA from 1 species